rnacentral:rRNA from 1 species
AUGCUUAGGAAAAUGUUCCAAGCUGGUUCUUCAAGGAAGCAAGGACCCAGGCUUGCAAUGUGUGAUGCUGACGAAGAGCCACCAAGAGACGCUCCAGUGCGUCCUUGUGAGUGGCCUUCUGAAAAUUUUAUGGAUCGAGCGGGAAUUAAAGAAGAAUUUAACGCAUAUUUGCAUAAUGCCGGUCUUGAGGACUUUGAGGCAGACAAAUGCCCCCAGUAUGAUGAUCUCACAAGCUCUUUUGUGAGGAGGUUUGAGUAUUCAUCUUCGCGUAAUUCUCCUUCAUUCAUGUUUGAUCUUUAUGACAAAUCUUAUACCAUAGACUUAGAGGAUUUUACUUUUGCUUGCAAACGUCCACAAUGGGGUAGUGUUAGGGAUCCCCCUAUAUCUGAAUUUAGAAACUUUCUUGCUAGUAUAACUGUAGGGGAAUCUAGAGAUAUAACGCAAGCUACCAUAGGGAGCAUUCACUUUCCUGCUAUACAUUAUUUUGUUCUCUUCAUAGGUAGGUGCAUAAAUGCUAAGGAUGAAGCAUGUCACAUGUGUGUCCCUGACCUUAGCAUUCUUAGGAGUGUUGUGUCAGGAGACCAAUCUUAUCAUAUGGGAGCCAUUGUAGCUCGUAGGUUGCAUCAUAAUAGAUAUAAUGGAGAUUUCUUUGGAGGAAUUUAUGCAACCCGCUUAGCUAAAUUUCUUGAGAUAGACGUUCGUGAAGGAGACAUGGAGUUGCCUCCUGCUUAUUUAGAUUUUGAUUCUAUGGUUUCCCACCAUUUUGUUGAGAGGAACGAAUCACCUCUCCAGUACCGAUUAAUCUUUGACAGACGCCGUGCUGUCCGUAUUACUCUCCCUGCUCCUGCUUUCUUUGAUUAUCAGGCAAGAGGAGGAUAUACUAUUACCAGAGAGGAGGCAGAUGAGUACGAGAGGAGAGAAGAGGCUGCUCGUCGCCACGCUGCAGCUCAGUAG